rnacentral:rRNA from 1 species
GACGAACGCUGGCGGCGUGCUUAACACAUGCAAGUCGAGCGGAUCGGCGAACGGGUGAGUAACGCGAGAGUAACUGCCCCCCUCUCUGGGAUAACAGUUGGAAACGGCUGCUAAUACCGGAUAGUGGGGGAUGACUCGCGUCCUAUCAGCUUGUUGGUGGGGUAGUGGCCGACCAAGGCGACGACGGGUAGCCGGCCUGAGGGGGGGAACGGCCCCAUGGGGCUGAGAUACGGCCCAAACUGCUACGUGAGGCAGCAGUGGGGAAUAUUACACAAUGGGGGAAAGCCUGAUGCAGCAACGCCGCGUGCGGAAUGACGGCCUUCGGGUUGUAAACCGCUUUCAGCCAUUACGCGGUAGUGGCAGAAGAAGCACCGGCUAACUACGUGCCAGCAGCCGCGGUAAUUC